rnacentral:rRNA from 1 species
AGGAUAAACGCUGGCGGCGUGCCUAACACAUGCAAGUCGAACGCGCUUUUUUCGCAAGAGGAGAGCGAGUGGCGGACGGGUGAGUAACACAUGGGUACCUACCUUGGAGUGAGGGAUACCGGCGAGAAAUCGCCGACAAUACCGCAUACGCUUCUCUUCACCGGGAAGCAAAGUUGCGCAAGCGACGCUCUGAGAUGGGCCUGUGGCCGAUUAGCUAGUUGGUGGGGUAACGGCCUACCAAGGCGACGAUCGGUAGCUGGUCUGAGAGGACGAUCAGCCACACUGGGAUUGAGAACGGCCCAGACUCCUACGGGAGGCAGCAGUGGGGAAUAUUGCACAAUGGGCGCAAGCCUGAUGCAGCGACGCCGCGUGGGGAUGACGGCCUUCGGUGUAAACCCUUUCGAGUAGGGACGAAGCGCAAGUGACGGUACCUACAGAAGAAGCACCGGCCAACUACGUGCCAGCAGCCGC